UACAGAGGAUGCAAGCGUUAUCCGGAAUGAUUGGGCGUAAAGCGUCUGUAGGUGGCUUUUUAAGUCCGCCGUCAAAUCCCAGGGCUCAACUCUGGACAGGCGGUGGAAACUGCCAAGCUGGAGUACGGUAGGGGCAGAGGGAAUUUCCGGUGGAGCGGUGAAAUGCGUAGAGAUCGGGAAGAACACCGGCGGCGAAGGCGCUCUGCUGGGCCGACACUGACGCUGAGAGACGAAAGCUAGGGGAGCGAAUGGG
rnacentral:rRNA from 1 species